GGCACAGUCACACUGCCCAGAGGAUUACUAGAAAUGAUAGGCGUCGCUUUCCUGGCACAGACCUGGCACCAACAUCUGGCAGGUUUCUGGAGCCAGCUGCAGAGGGCAGAGGACUGAGCCACCUAUGAAAUGCCCAGUGGGCGACCCUGAAGCUGGGCAGGUCUGUGUGCGCUGGGGAGGAUUCCAGCAAUGAAGUGGAAAAGAAGUCAGAUAUAGGGCGAAUCCCAGAACUGCCAUUGACCACCAAGAACCUAGAGCCAGCGACAUCAUCUCAGAAGAUAAAAAUCUGUGGAAUGGAGAGGAUCAUCCCGACACCGUGGGGCUGCGUAGCGAUGGGGUUUCACCAUGUUGGCCAAGUUGAUCUUGAACUCCUGAGCUCAAAUGAUCCACCCACCUUGGCUCCCAAAGUACUGGGAUUACAGGCAUGAGCCACCCCACCUGGCCUAAAUGUACCGUCUCAAGGAGAAAAAGAGGAAGAGCGGAAGACCACGGCACAUGGCCUGUGAAUCACAUGCAGCAAGCUCUAACAACAGUUGAAACUCUGGGAUAUGAAUCUGAGAAGUUUCAGCAGAAAAACUACAUUGAGAAAUGAAAUUACCAAUGUAGCUGAAGAAGACAGCAUUUCUCACUUGAAACCAGGGAAAUUAAACGAAGACUGUAAAACAGAGAAAAAGCUGCCAUUUAGAAGUUGCCUGAAAAUGUAAAGAAACAGGUUUCAGAAAUAAAGUUGAAAACCUCUUGCAGUUUUUGUAAAGAACAAAUCAAUACUUCAAGACAACUGUUGUUCUAAUAUAGGGGAAUCAAAUUUUAUUCAGAAUAUAGAAAAUACUUUUCACAAUGCAUUUUUCAUAAACCUUCUACAGCUUACUCAGAGCUUUCAUUAUAUUCCUGGACCUUUAUUUCUUCCGUUUUCUUAAACAGUCAUGUUACUUU